CCUUUGGGUUCACUUGUCUUUGGCCUUGCAUCGGCUUUUCUGCUACAUUCUGCAUGAGAAGUUUGCCAUUGAUUAUUUGUGUCAUCUUGAAAGUGCUUGUUUCUACAAACUACAUUCUCAUUAGCAGGUUCCGGACUGUGACUACAAGAACUUUCAGGUUCAGACAAUGGCGCAGCAACUUCAACUGUAGAACAGGCAUCCUCAACAGAGGCUGUCUCUU
rnacentral:misc_RNA from 1 species